rnacentral:rRNA from 1 species
CGUGUAGGCGGGAAAGAAAGUCAGAAGUGAAAUCCCAUGGCUUAACUGUGGAGCUGCUUCUGAAACUUCUUUUCUUGAGUGUUGGAGAGGAAAGUGGAAUUCCAAGUGUAGCGGUGAAAUGCGUAGAGAUUUGGAGGAACACCAGUGGCGAAGGCGGCUUUCUGGACAAUAACUGACGCUGAGGCGCGAAAGCGUGGGGAGCAAACAGGAUUAGAUACCCUGGUAGUCCACGCUGUAAACGAUGGAUACUAGGUGUAGGAGGUAUCGACCCCUUCUGUGCCGGAGUUAACACAAUAAGUAUCCCACCUGGGGAGUACGGCCGCAAGGUUGAA